GGUUGAUUGGUCUAGUUGGUCAUGACGUGGGUCUCAUAUACAUCAUCGAUAUGAUCACUCCACUCAGCGAGUGAGCGAUCCCAAGGUCACCAGUUCGAUCCUGGUAUCGACCA